AACGAACGCUGGCGGCAGGCUUAACACAUGCAAGUCGAACGGGUGUCGCAAGACAUCAGUGGCAGACGGGUGAGUAACACGUGGGAACCUUCCUAGGGGUACGGAACAACUCAGGGAAACUUGAGCUAAUACCGUAUACGUCCGUAAGGAGAAAGAUUCAUCGCCCCUAGACGGGCCCGCGUCGGAUUAGGUAGUUGGUGGGGUAACGGCCUACCAAGCCUACGAUCCGUAGCUGAUCUGAGAGGAUGAUCAGCCACACUGGGACUGAGACACGGCCCAGACUCCUACGGGAGGCAGCAGUGGGGAAUCUUGGACAAUGGGCGCAAGCCUGAUCCAGCCAUGCCGCGUGAGUGAAGAAGGCCUUAGGGUUGUAAAGCUCUUUUACCAGGGACGAUAAUGACGGUACCUGGAGAAUAAGCCCCGGCAAACUUCGUGCCAGCAGCCGCCGUAA
rnacentral:rRNA from 1 species